rnacentral:lncRNA from 1 species
CCCUAUAUCGAAAACCCACCGACCGCUAUGCCUACCUUCAUGCCUCCAGCUUCCAUCCCGGGCACAUCACACGAUCCAUUGUCUACAGCCAAGCACUGAGGUACAACCGCAUCUGCUCUAACCCCUCAGACAGAGACCAACACCUACAAAAUCUCCACCAAGCAUUCUCAAAACUACAAUACCCGCAUGAGGAAAUAAGGAAACAGAUCAACAGAGCCAGACGUGUACCCAGAAGCCUCCUACUGCAAGACAAACCCAAGAGAGAAACCAACAGGACUCCACUGGCCAUCACAUACAGCCCCCAGCUAAAACCCCUCCAACGCAUCAUCAAGGAUCUACAACCCAUCCUGGACAAUGAUCCCACACUUUCACAGGCCUUGGGUGGCAGGCCAAUCCUUGCCCACAGACAACCUGCCAACCUGAAACAUAUUCUCACCAGUAACUGCACACCACACCAUAAUAACUCUAGCUCAGGAACCAAUCCAUGCAACAAACCUCGAUGCCAACUCUGCCCACAUAUCUACACCAGCGACACCAUCACAGGACCUAACCAGAUCAGCCACACCAUCACUGGUUCAUUCACCUGCACAUCCACCAAUGUAAUAUACGCCAUCAUAUGCCAGCAAUGCCCCUCUGCUAUGUACAUCGGCCAAACUGGACAGUCUCUACGGAAAAGGAUAAAUGGACACAAAUCAGACAUUAGGAAUGGCAAUAUACAAAAACCUGUAGGAGAGCACUUCAACCUCCCUGGCCACACUAUAGCAGACCUUAAGGUGGCCAUCCUGCAGCAAAAAAACUUCAGGACCAGACUUCAAAGAGAAACUGCUGAGCUUCAGUUCAUCUGCAAAUUUGACACCAUCAGCUCAGGAUUGAACAAAGACUGUGAAUGGCUUGCCAAUUACAGAACCAGUUUCUCCUCUCUUGGUUUUCACACCUCAACUGCUAGAACAGGGCCUCAUCCUCCCUGAUUGAACUGACCUCGUUAUCUCUAGCUUGCUUGCUAGCACACAUAUAUAUACCUGCCCCUGGAUAUUUCCAUUACAUGCAUCUGAGGAAGUGGGUAUUCACCCACGAAAGCUCAUGCUCCAAAACGUCUGUUAGUCUAUAAGGUGCC